rnacentral:rRNA from 4 species
GUCCCACCUGACCCCAUGCCGAACUCAGAAGUGAAACGCCGUAGCGCCGAUGGUAGUGUGGGGUCUCCCCAUGCGAGAGUAGGACACUGCCAGGCA